AGUGAACGCUGGCGGUAGGCCUAACACAUGCAAGUCGAACGGCAGCACAGUAAGAGCUUGCUCUUACGGGUGGCGAGUGGCGGACGGGUGAGGAAUACAUCGGAAUCUACUUUUUCGUGGGGGAUAACGUAGGGAAACUUACGCUAAUACCGCAUACGACCUACGGGUGAAAGCAGGGGAUCUUCGGACCUUGCGCGAUUGAAUGAGCCGAUGUCGGAUUAGCUAGUUGGCGGGGUAAAGGCCCACCAAGGCGACGAUCCGUAGCUGGUCUGAGAGGAUGAUCAGCCACACUGGAACUGAGACACGGUCCAGACUCCUACGGGAGGCAGCAGUGGGGAAUAUUGGACAAUGGGCGCAAGCCUGCUCCAGCCAUACCGCGUGGGUGAAGAAGGCCUUCGGGUUGUAAAGCCCUUUUGUUGGGAAAGAAAAGCAGCAGGUUAAUACCCCGCUGUUCUGACGGUACCCAAAGAAUAAGCACCGGCUAACUUCGUA
rnacentral:rRNA from 1 species